rnacentral:rRNA from 1 species
UUAAGCAUAUCAAUAAGCGGAGGAAAAGAAACCAACAGGGAUUGCCCCAGUAACUGCGAGUGAAGCGGCAAAAGCUCAAAUUUGAAAUCUGGCGCCUUUGGCGUCCGAGUUGUAAUUUGGAGAGACAUCUUCGGGGAUGGCAUACUGUCCUAAGUUCCUUGGAACAGGACGUCACAGAGGGUGAGAAUCCCGUGCCUGGAUGGUUGUCCAUCCCCAUUGUGAAGGGUCUUCGACGAGUCGAGUUGUUUGGGAAUGCAGCUCAAAAUGGGUGGUAAACGUCAUCUAAAGCUAAAUAUUGGCGAGAGACCGAUAGCGCACAAGUAGAGUGAUCGAAAGAUGAAAAGCACUUUGAAAAGAGAGUAAAAUAGUACGUGAAAUUGUUGAAAGGGAAGCGCUUGAGACCAGACACGGUCCGUGGUAAUCGCCCGCGCUUCGGUGCAGGUGCUCUUACCAUGACCGGUGCCAGCAUCGGUUCUGGCGGUGGGAUAAAAGGCAGGGGAAUGUAGCUUCCUCACUGGGAGUGUUAGAGCCCCUGUCACAAUGCCACCAGUCGGGACCGAGGACUGCGCUUCAGCUAGGA